CGGUUCGGAGAAAACGAAGGGAUGGGAGGAACUCUCUUUCUUCUUUCCUCUCUCGUGGUCAAGAUUUACGGCUCGCCGGAACCUUUCUCUUUGUCCUUUCGAAUCGCUUCUCUCUCACUACACACUGUCAUUUACGAGUCACUUCUCUUAUCUCUCUCUCUCUCUCGCUCCACUCUUCGUCAAUCACUCACAUCACCAACCGACGAGAGAUGCCCUGCGGAAAUAUUUUUACGACGCAAAGACGUACGCAGUCAACUUCAGACUUCUUCUCGUUUCCCUUCCCUCCGUCCUGUUGUUUACCGGCGCUGUCGCAUGAAAUCGAUCGCGUUCCGAGAAAUCACGGAAACUCCCGCGAAAAUUCGGAGAAGAGACUCGCGUCGUAAUAUAACAUCGACGGGAUCUCGUAAACGUCUCUCGUGCAGCAAGCGAGAAAGCGGGUCUUUGUGCUUCGAGGUUAGGUUCAUGCAUCUGGCGUCGCGGAUCGCUCGGGCUACUCGCUCUUCGUUGUCACGUCGUACGACACUUCGCCGGGGUUGUGCGCGACGCGUAUCGACCCCACGCACGACCGCGAGCAACUGGAGACGACGUGGAGCCUUCAAGUCGGAAGCCUCAGCACGGAAGGACCGGUGAAAAACUGCGCGAAAAUCCAACCAUGCUGACUGCGCGACCGGCGUCGGACUGCCGCGAGAACGGAGCGGGGGAUUCGAGUUGAGUGGCAUCGCCCGGUUAGAGGGGUCGACUUCCCCCACUCUCUCUCUCUCGCUCGCUCGGCCCGUCUCGGCCUCUCUCGCUCUCCCUCGGCUCGACCCCCCACUACCGCAGCGCCGCCGCCGGCCGUCGUCGCUCCUACUGUCCGCUUCCCCCACCAGUCGACCGCGGCCCGUCUCCCCCGCCACAUCGUCCGUUCGUGUGUUCCCGUGCGCGAUUCAGUCCCUAUCCCUACCGCCGCGCCGCGCGGAAGAGUAUCAGUGCGAGAGGGAGAACUCCGGAGAGAGAUGAAGACGAGCGAGAGCGAGAGCAGGUGACAAGUUUAGCGAAACAGAGACUGCGGCUGAUAUUACAACGGAGAGAGGAACUGCGAGUGCGCGGUUGACCAGACGAAGAUGGCGCACGGUCAGUAUCUGAGUUUGAGUGUGAGACUUUGACUGUGAGAUUCUCGAGUGCCGAAUCGAUUGUUGCUUCAUUUGAUUAUAGUUUUCGCAUCGUUUUUCCUUGUGCAAUAUAUAUGCGCGAAAUACGCGUGCGAUUUACGCAUUGUGUCGGGAGUGCCGUGUAAAGUUUCGCGCGUCGGGAGUGCCGUAUAAAGAUAAAGUGUCGGGCGAUCGUAAUUAUUCGUGUUUUCGCGAGUGCCGUGAGUGCUACAAAGGACCAAGAGAGGAGGAGGCCUGGGAGGCAUCGGGCAACAACGGGACAACUGUGAGAUCCAUGUGUUGUAUACUACAAUUCUGCUGGUGCAGGUAUCGGUGAGU